rnacentral:rRNA from 1 species
CAGUAGCCGCGGGAAAACAGAGGGUGCAAGCGUUAAUCGGAAUUACUGGGCGUAAAGCGCGCGUAGGUGGUUUGUUAAGUUGGAUGUGAAAUCCCCGGGCUCAACCUGGGAACUGCAUCCAAAACUGGCAAGCUAGAGUAUGGUAGAGGGUGGUGGAAUUUCCUGUGUAGCGGUGAAAUGCGUAGAUAUAGGAAGGAACACCAGUGGCGAAGGCGACCACCUGGACUGAUACUGACACUGAGGUGCGAAAGCGUGGGGAGCAAACAGGAUUAGAUACCCCUGUAGUCCCUGUCUCUUAUAA